rnacentral:lncRNA from 1 species
CAACGGUGGCAGCACCGGACCCGUCAUGGCAGGCGGCGGCGCGACCCCGCCGGGCCCCCCCCGGCCCUGGAGCCGUCUCCACGCCGCGGCCGCGCGGUGCAGCCGCGAUCACCAAGUGCCCGCACAGCGCUGCCACCAACGGCGGCUACUCCCGGAAGAAAAACGGCGGCUUCUUCUGCUCGUAGGACCCCGCAAUAAAGCACGGAGCGGAGCCGGGCUCAAUGCCGCGGGGAGAGGGGGGGUGUUGGGGCGGCGGGCGGAUCAGAAUCGCCUGCGCUCAGGGGCCGGCCGGGGCCAGGCCUCGCCUAUCUGAUCGACUCAUCCCGCCCGCCCGCCGCACAGCGCCCGCGGCUUCGCGGCUCCGUUCUUCUCAUCUCGGCCGGGGCCGAUCGAAUAAGAUCAAUGUGUAGGGAGAGGGCGGCAGGCGCUCACAUCGCACCCGCACAAACACGCACACACCGCGCACACACCGCGCUCUCGCACACGCACAGCGCAGCCGCCACUCUCCGCUGGUUCCGCCGCGUCGCGCCCUUUUAUAGCCUCCUCCGCGCGGGGCACGCUGGGAAGAGCGCCGCGGCCCCGCCCCACCGCACAGCGCCCCCUGCCGGAUGGAGGACCGCGGUGCUCCCCCCCC